CGUUUAUCGACACCAACGGAGAAGGAGAAAACUCAGCCAAGACGUCAUAGGACGAAAGGGAGACUCAACGUUUAUCGACACCAACGGAGAAGGAGGAAACUCAGCCAGACGUCAUAGGACGAAAGGGAGACUCAACGUUUAUCGACACCAACGGAGAAGGAGGAAACUCAGCCAGACGUCAUAGGACGAAAGGGAGACUCAACGUUUAUCGACACCAACAGAGAAGGAGAAAACUCAGCCAACCGUCAUAGGACGAAAGGG
rnacentral:lncRNA from 1 species